rnacentral:lncRNA from 1 species
AGCCACCAGUCAGCUCCACUUUUUCCAUCUGCCUGCUCAGCUCCCUACCCCUCGGCUUCCUCUCUCCCACCGUUUCUCCCCCCAUUCCUUCUUUUCUCAAUUCAUCUCCUCAAAGGGCACAUCCUGGCUCUUUUCUGGCAGGUCCAGCAGGAGCCUUGGCCAGUAUCUCAGGCUUGGUGUCUCCUCAUCCCCUGGAGCAAGGAGCAGGCUGCAGAGCAAGUCCCAGAGCAAGGCUCUGCCUUUCUUCCAACCACCGUGUCAAGAAAUAAAGGCUGGAUAAUGGAAACGGAGUCUUUGAACAGUGACAUUCAUCUGAAGACGCAGCAGCACAGAGAGACCACACAGCUCCUGGGGGAACAACUCAAAGUAGAAGAUGCAAGGAACGCCGCUGCGCUGGAGAGCACAGGGACACGACGGCGAGGAAAGCAGAGAUUUGGCUUUUAUGACACUAUUUACAGGUUUUCCACUUUAAAAAAACCGGCGGGUUUGAUUAAAUAUAAGUAUAGAACAUUUCUUCUUCCAUAUACAAACUCAUGUUAGCUGAUUAAUUACUAAGGUGCUCAGAAGUGUGGCUGAAAACAGAAGUUACAGUAGAUCAGUUGUGUUUGUCUCUAUUUACACCGGCAUCUUCCAAAGAAGCUGGAAGCAAAGAGGUGGCCAGUUAUGAAUCUAAUGUUGUUUUUCUUCACAGCAUCUUUGUCAGAAGAAGGUAAAAUAGUAGUAUUUUCACUCUUUUUUUUUAUUCACAAAGGUGGGUGCCCUCGCUGGGUCUGUGUUACCGGUGGUGCCAGGCACCAUCACACCCCGAGACACCCUGUUUCUACCUCUCGACUCCUGUCCAGCCCUUACCACCAGAACUUGCUGGUCUGCUGGGCAGCUGCCCGAGACAGGACUUGCAGCACCAGGUUUUUGUGUUGAAAAUGCGUCGUACGGGGCCUCCUACGGAACUCGGAGAUCUCCUCCGUGCAACAGAAGGGAGAACUUAUGUGUGAGGAACCAAACAAAGAGAAUGCACUCAGCAAAAAUUUUGCCUUCCAAUCAGAAAAAAUAAAAUCCCAAGUGGCCCAUGUUUUUUUUUUGAG